rnacentral:rRNA from 1 species
UGCGCUACCUGGUUGAUCCUGCCGGUAUCUCAUCUCUGAGUUUAAAGAUUAAUCCAUGCAUGUGUUCGGCAUAGUUGUAGUGCCUGCGGAAGGCUCAUUAUAACAAAGAUAACCUACCCUAUAUAUAAUUCGGAUAACUUUGCUAAUUGUGAGGGUAAUACGUGAUGCUUUGGUGUUCGCAUUAAAUUACUCGUGGAGUUGUAAGUAAAGGAAAUAGAGUGGUCGUACAGGAGUGUUCCUGCGUAGGAGGGGUCUUUGAUCUAUCAGCUACUGACGGUUGUGUAUUGGACUACCGUGGCUUUUACAGAUAACGAGGAAUUCGGGUUUGAUUUCGGAGAGAACGCCUGAGAUAUAGCGUUUACAGCUAAGGUUGGCAGCAGGAGCGAAAACUUUUCUUAUGAGCGAAUGCUUGAAAAGGUGACGAACUGUAUCAACAUCAGCUUUCUGUUGAUGAUUGAAAUGGGGAGUAUGUAGAUAAUACUCCGAGUAGCUAGUUCAGGGCAAGUCUGGUGCCAGCAGCCGCGGUAAUACCAGCUGAGCUAGGGAUGGGUAAUAUUGUGGCAGUAAAAACAUUCGUAGUCACUAAUGGGCAAUGAAUUAGCGUUUAGUUAAUACAUUGGUUUUGUGUCAAUCCGCGAUUAAAUUAGAAAGGUAGAUUUGUAUGGUGUAUAGUCAAGCGUGGUAAAUCUGAUGAUACUUUUAUCAAGCGUGCAACAUUUGAUAGAGGAAUAAACAGUAAGAGUUAAUGAGGGUAGUGAUACUUACCAGCUAGAGGUGAAAUUCAAAGAUUUGGUAAUGAUUAACGACUGCAAAGGCAUCUAGCCAAUUUAUUUUUGGUGAUCAAGAAUUAAAGUGUGGGGAUCGAAGAGGAUUAGAUACCCUCGUAGUCCACACCCUAAACUAUGUCAACUAGAGAUUGGUGGAAAGAAUACUCUAUCAGAACCUUAGCAGAUAUGAAAGUCUUUGGACUCUGGGGGGAGUAUGGUCGCAAGGGCGAAACUUAAAGGAAUUGACGGAACGGCACCAUCAGGGGUGGAGCGUGCGGCUUAAUUUGACUCAACGCGGGAAACCUUACUAGGGUAUGACAUUAUGAUGAUUGACAAACUGCUUGGUUUUUCUUGAUUUAAUGGGUGGUGGUGCAUGGCCGAUCUUAGUUGGUGGGGUGACUUGUCUGGUUAAUUUCUUCGAUAACGAACGAGAUCCGAGCCGUUUAGUUGUACAUGUUCGUGUUUAGCGGGCUGUAUCUCGAAAUGGACCGUCUGCUCAAGCAGAAGGAAGUGACGGGCUAAAUCAGGUCUGUGAUGCCCUUUGAUACUCUGGGCGGCACGCGCGCUACAAUGGAAGGAUUAAUGUGCAACUCUGCGUAAUCGUUGGGUGAAUCAGCAAUUUUUUGUCUUGAUUGGGAUAGUCUUUUGCAAUUUUCAGACUUGAACUAGGAAUCCCUUGUAGGAGUAGUAAAGAAUACUGCUCCGAAUACGUCCCUGCCGUUUGUACACACCGCCCGUCGUUUCUUCCGACUGGUACUCAUUGUGAAUCUCGAGGACGGUGCAAGCUGAAUUCGCUGUGAAUGCUGGGUAUUGGAGGAAGAAAAAGUCGUAACAAGGUUAUCGUAGGUGAACCUGCAGAAGGAUCA